rnacentral:lncRNA from 1 species
GGCAAUUCAUUUAGUAAUAUGGUGGAGGAGGUGAAGGAGAGGAAGGGGGUGGUGACUUGUGGUAGUAGACUGGUGGUUGGGGUGAUGGAGAAGGUAGUGGUGGGGAUUUGUAGAGGUAUGGUGGAAGAGGAGAUGGAGAUGGAGGAGGUGAGGACUUGUAAUAGGAUGGAGAAGGUGGUGGUGGUGAUUUGUAGUAGUAAGGAGGAGGUGGGGAAGGAGAUGGUAGAGGUGGGGACUUAUAGUAAUAAGGAGGUUGAGGAGAUGGUGAUGGAGGAGGAGGUAAUUUAUAGUCGUAGUGAGGAGGGGGUGAUGGUGAAGGUAGUGGUGGUGACUUGUAGUAAUACCACGGAGGAAGAGAUGGAGAUGGAGCCAGAGGUGACAGCGGUGGUAGUGAUUUGUAGUAAUAAGGAGGCAGUGAUGAUGGAAAAGGUGGGAGCGGUGGCAGUGAUUUAUGGUAAUAAGGAGGUAGUGAUGAUGGAAAAGGUGGGAGCGGUGGCCGUGAUUUAUAGUAAUAAGGAGGUAGUGAUGAUGGAAAAGGUGGGGAUGCAAAAGUAUUAGGAUUGUAAGGCUCGUCUUCAGCAGCUACAUUAGCGGCAAUCAAGCACAAAGCCAAGACACAAAUCAGGUGAGGCCAAAAAUUGGCCAUUUCCAGAACACGAGAAAAUUUCACUCCUACAACUCAAGAACUUCUAUUUCUUAGAACAGAAGGGAUUUUGUGAAUGAUGCUUCAAGGUAGAGGCUCAGAGUUUAUAUAGUCAUCCUUUCCAUAAUUCUUUCAUUUGUUUAAUUAGUAGUUGUUGAAGCCUCCAAUCUUUAACAAGUCUACAACUAAAUGGUAUUCCCCUAUUUUCUAUGUGUUACCUGCACAUCUGUCCAUGAAAAGUCAAGAAGAUUAGUAAACAUAUAUAUACAAGAGUGCAUUUCAGUUUUGGUUGUUGGGAGCCUAGAAGCUUCCCCAUAUAUUAUGUCAAAUGUGACUGCCAUCUUUAAGAAUUUACCAUGGAAAACUCAACAUAAAAUAUUACUAUGAAGCAUGUCUACCAAGCAAAAAGCUAGGGCUAUUAGAUCUCCUUCUACCAUAACUUCCUGUUUUUCGAAAAUUUGUCAUACAUUGAAACCUUUUUCAAAACAACAAAAAGAUUUAAUAUUGCAAAUAAUUUACGGGCAUUAAUUAGGAAGGUAAUGCACUAAUAAACCUAAAAUCAAUGCCAAUUUUUCUAGAAAGGCAUCGUUGUCUUUCAAUAACUUCUUAAGCUAGCUAUUUAAUAUUAUAGGACGACUAGGUCUAUGAAUGAGAUCAUCAUAUGCAUUUUCAAUAACAAGUAAUGGACCCUUGUUUUUCCAUUGGAUUUGAGUAACGAUGAAAGUUCUUUAGGAAAAGGAAAGAAACAUAAUUAAUCUCUUAAAUUUCUUCUUCAUGCAUGUUGCUAGAUAAAGGAUUGAUGGGGCAAGCAACAAAGGGAGAUUAUUUAAAGAGAUUUUGUAAUAACUACUUUGGAAUUGGGAGUUGUAGAAAGUGGAAGAGAAAAUGUUCAAGGAAUAGUUCAUUCCUCAAAUGUUCAUCCAUUCCUUUGUAUAGGGUUUUGCCUUUAAAUAUCAACAAAACUGCUCAAGGUGUAUUUGAUAGUAAUUUUAGAAAGUAUUUUUAACCUUUAUAAUACUUAAAAAAAAAAAAAAUUGUUAAGUGUCAAAAAUAUUAAAAACACAUCUUAAAAUCACUACUAAACGGACUCUUAAAAGUUCAUAUGAAAUUAAUCAAAUUAGAUAAGGACAGGUUCUAACCUGUGGACAUAUAUGUAGAACUAAGGUCUUAGAACCGGUGAUGAUGAGAUUGCAAUCACAACUCACAACCAAAUAUCAUACAUACUUGAAAGAAACAAAUUGGAAGGAAAUCUAUUUCAAUAUGAAUUAUAAAGUGUUUUUGUGGUUAAUAUAAAAAAUAAUGACACUACAUGCAACUUACAUAUGUACUUGCUUUAUAUGCUAACGACAUUAUUUAUAUGCUAGAUAUUAACUAGACACCAUCAAUCAAGUCUAUAUAUAUAUAUAUAUUAUUAUUUAUAUCUUUAUACUUUGAUCUCAUUUGUUUAUUUCUUCGUUCAACAACACAAAUCUCAUCAUGCAUGUUUAAUGAUCCGGAUUUAGAGCUCAAUAGAUAUCACUAGGGUAGCUUAGGAUUUUCUUACCUAAAAUUACUAUAAGAAGUACUCAAGGAAAAAGAAAAUGAAUGAUCUAAAAGUGGAUCCCUUGCAACACUUCAAGGAGUCGAGAUUUGUACUUGGUUGGGCUUGGAAUUCUAAUAAUCCUAGUUGGCUGGGCACUUGGCUUUCUAAUAAUUCUAGUUGUCGCAUUAACGGAAACUGUUUGUAACUCAACAGUAUGGACAAUUGAAAUGUUUAUGGAGUAUUGUUAAUCAAAGCUGCCAUGGGAAAAUCUUUUGUUUGAAGCCCUUCACUGGAAUAUUCAAUAAAUAUAGCUAGCGCCACUUUCCCUCAGAAAUAAUUCCCCCCAAUACCUUAAAUGGUAUGCUUAAUUUCUUAUUCACUUUUACACACCUAUUCAUCUUAAUUACCAAAUGCACCCACUUUCUGUUUUUUUUUUCUUUUAACUCAUUAAUGUUUUAAAAAAAAUUGGUAUUAAUCAAAUAUUAAUUUUAAAAUUUUUAAUUAUUUUAAAAAAUUAUCAUAUCGGUUAAGAAAUUUAAUGCAUUAGCUCUCACUUGAUUUGAAAUAUGUUUGUCUAAUGAUAGAACUUGAAAAUUAUAUAGUUACACGCACAUAAAAAAUUGGCCAAGCCAUUGUAGACCGGUUUUGUUCCAACAAAUUCUAGUAUUAAUUGGCUCGAAUCAAGUUCUAAAUGAUUUUUAAAAUUUAUUAAACUUAUUAAGGAAUCCAAUGCAUCAAAUUGGAUUUAGAAGAUGACACAUCUCAAAGCAAAACAAUAGGGAAAGGUAUAAUAAAUCACAAAUUCAAUGUUAUAAAUAUCAAAAAUUAAACUGGAAUAAUCUCAAAUGACAAAAAUUAAGAAGAUUCUAUAGAUAAGGAAAUAAAAGCAAUAACAAAACAUAAUACAUUGAAACUAAAAUCCUUUCCAAAAGAGAAAAAGGCAAUUGGAGGAAAAUGGGUAAACAAUGAGUCAAAUCCUAUUUUUUGAAAACAACCAAAGGUUUAUAAAAUAAUAAUAAAUAAAUAAAUAAAAUGAAAUAAAAUAAAAUAAAUAAGAUCUCCUUUAAGACUAAAUGAUUCCAUUGAAUUGAGUAUGAUUGUGUGUGUGAUAGCAUCAACAGUACUAAGAAUAUCAAUGACCUUUUGGCAACCAACCUUCAAAAUAUAAAGGGGAAAGAUGUGCAAAGAAGAAUGUAAAAGGAGAAAUAUUAGAGAGACACAAAGUAAGAUUAGUGGUUAAGGGUUACAAGCAUCAACUUGUAAACAACAAAUUAGCAAUUGCACUAUCAAAAAAUCCAAUUUUAUAUGUUUGAAACAAGAUAUCAAUACAAAAUAUCAUUUUAUUAGAGAGUGCAUAAUGAAGAAGAAAGUAUAAUUAAAUUUGCAAAAUCUCAAGAUUAAAUUGCAAAUAUUUUUACCAAACCUCUCAAGUUUAAAAAUUUUAGAAAGUUAAGUAUAUUACUUGGAGUUACAAAUAAAGUUUAAGGGGGAUAUUGGAAAGUUAAACUUGAUUUAGAAAGUUUCCAAAACUUAGAACUAGAUUUAGUCUCCACAAUUCAAAGAUAAUAUUUUAUUUUCAAUGGUUGUUUAUAUUUGAGUAGUCAAGUCCUAGAAGGUUAAUUUCUAUAUUUUGUUAUUAGAAUUUUCUAUUUUGUUAAGUGUAAAUAUCUAUAAAUAAGAUUUUAUGUAAUAUUUGAAUAAGAAAGUGUGAAGAUGAAUCUCACCUAUGGAUAACAGCUAGAGGGGGCUAAAUAGAUGUUUUUUAAAACAACUUAAGAUGGUAUCUCACAAAUGCUUACAAAUCCCUUAUUUUUCUCAAAUGUUUUGGUUUGUUUUUUUUUAUCUUAUUAAAAAAAAAACAAAUCAUAAGUAAUAAUGGAUGCAUCAACACUCUCUCAUUAAGUGAGUCAAUGCAAAUCACAUACAAAUGAAUCAACACUCCUCAACUAUAAUGUAUAAGACAUUAUAUGCAUCGACACAAAUCCCAUUUUCGCAUGUCCCAUGACAUUAAUAUCAAAAACUGAAAUAUACCAUAUUCUAUCAAAGCUUCAAUGGUUUAAUUUAAGCUCAUAUCUCAAUUAAACAACAAAAUAAUUCAAUAGAAAUAUCAUAAGCUAAUGAAAAACUAAUUAAAAGAUGAGGUAGAAUAGACAUAUAAGGGAAGCAGCCUAAAAUCAUGCCUAUCAUUCAAUUCUAUAUUCUGUCAUAUAGCUGUAUAUUGUAACAGUAGCAUAGAUUUAGCCUUACCGUUUCUAAAUUUGAAUCAUAUAGUUGUAUAUUGUAACGGUAGCAUCCUUAUCGUGUAUAUGUUUCUUAAACUAGCUUCUUAAUCACUUUAUAUAAUAGAGUUUCCAUCAAUAAAAUGAGUUGGAAAUUCUUCAUUGAAACUACGACAAUAUUUUUUUCUUUAUAUGGUAUCAGAGCACUGAUCUCAAAUGAGCCAUCGAUCCAAGUUAUCACCAUGCCUUCCUCCUCUGAUCAAACUCCAAACUUUAAUCUCAAUACUCAACUUCCAUCUGCAGUCGAUAAACCCCUAAUUGCUCUCAAUAUCACAACCCAAAUCAAUGAAAAAUUAACUCCCUCCACAUUUUCUCAAUGGUGUGCUCAAUUUGAAGCACUCAUUAUUGGUUACGAUUUACUCAACUAUGUUGAAGGCACCAUUCGGUGCCCUUCCUCUACUGCUACUCCUACUGAUGAGUUGCACAAAACCCAUUGGGUCCGAUAGGAUAAACUUAUCUUGAGUGCUAUUCUAGCCUCCACAUCUUCUUCAAUCACACCACUCAUUGCUACGUCAAAGACCUCCCAUGAAGCUUGGAAAAAAUUAAAACCUCUAUAUGCUACCCGAUCAAGAACACAUGCUAUGCAAUUAAAGGAGGAACUCACCUUAAUCCAGCGAGGAGAUCGGUCGAUUAUAGAAUGCAUCCAUCCUCUAAAGUCCUUGGCCAAUGAAAUAACCAUUAUUGAUCAUUCAAUUUCGGAUGAUGACCUAACCCUUUGUGUGUUGAAUGGCUUAGGUCUAGAUUUUCGAGAGAUUGUUGUGCAUAUCUGAGCUCGAGAAUCAUCACUGGCUUUUGAGGAGUUGCAUGAUCUUUUGGUUGGACACGAGGCAUACUUAUGACGCAUAGGAGUUGCGAUGCAGAACCUAGUUGCUUCUGCAAAUUUCAUAAAGAUGACGAAGUAGUCUCCACAAUGAGGAAGUCACCCGUGGUCUUUCAAGCAAACUAGCUUUCACCAUGAGCCUCGAGGUUCUCAACAAAGCUGCAACUCAAAUGGAGCCCAACGUGAUGGAUGUCGCUCCAACAAUAACUCUAGGCGACCCAACAACUCCAAUUGGUGUUACCAGCCCAAAUGUCAAAUUUAUGACCAAUUGGGCCACACUGCAAAGUUCUGUCCUCAACUCCAUUCAUAGAAUGCCUCCAUCAAUUGUGCUGCAAUCUCUACUGGCAAGGACAAAAAUUGGUUACUUGAUUCGACUAUUUCUCAUAAUAUCACGGGUGAUCUUUCCAACUUAUCUAUUCACUCCGAAUAUGAUGGAAUUGACAAAGUAAUUCUCAGUAAUGGUUCAAGUUUGGUUGUCUCACACAUCGGUUUUUUGGAUUUACACUCCCCUCAUCGAAAUUUUACAUUGCAUGAUACUCUUUGUGUUCCAAAUCUUUGCAGAAAUUUAAUUUCCGUUCAUCAUCUCACCAAACAAAACAAUGUCUUGGUUGAAUUUCACCAUUUUCAUUUUCUUGUGAAGAACAAGAUCACGGGGGCAAUCCUACUAAGAAGAGCAUGUAACAAUGGCAUCUACACUUUUCCGACAUCAAUGGUGGCAUAAAAAAAUAUUGCUAAUGUGCAUGAACACAGAUGGAUGGCACAAGCGUCUUGGGAUUCCUUCUACUAAAAUUGCCCAUCAUCUUGUCAAUAAAUUUUCUCUUCCUAUGUCCUUGAACAAAAAGUUUAUCUUCAUUAUGUUCUUCAUGUUCUAUUAAUAAAGCACAUCAACAACCACUUUGUGUCACUAGUCUCCAAAGUCAUGAGCCACUUGACCUUAUUUACACGGAUGUGUGGGGUCCCGCUAGUUAUACUGGAAUUGAUGGAUCACGAUAUUACCUUAUUUUUGUUGAUCAUUAUACAAAAUAUAUAUGAUUUUAUCCAAUGGUCACAAAAUCCAAUGUUUCUAAUAUUUUCCCGCAUUUCAAAAAGUUUGUUGAAACUUGUUUUUAAAAAUCUAUUAAAACACUUUACUUCAAAAAUGGUGGUGAGUUUAUCGCUUUAAAAUCUUAUUUAUUACUUCAUGGCAUAACUCACUACACCACUGCUCCACACACUCAACAACAAAAUGGUGUCUUUGAACGUUAUCACUGUCAUCUCGUUGAAACGAACCUUACACUUCUUCAUGAUGCAAAUCUUGCUUUCUCAUAUUGGCCCUAUGCUUUUCAAACAACUUCUUAUCUCAUAAAUAAACAACCAAUGCCUUUCCUCCAAGAAAAAAAUACCUUUUGAAGCCCUUUUUGGUCAACCACCCAAUUACUUGAAAUUAAAAAAAUUUGGGUGCAUUUGUUAGCCCCUCACACGAGCCUAUAAUUCAAAUAAAAUGCAGCCCAAAUCCAAAGUCUGCAUUUUUCUCGGUUAUUCACCAACCCAAAACGCAUACAAGUGUUUUGAACCUCAAACAAAAAAUUCUUUCUCUCACGGCAUGUGUUAUUUGAUGAAAAUCUAACAUAUUCCAGUCUAUCCUAAACUGCGUCUUCCAUAACAACCCAACCCACUCGAGAAUCUCACAUUUUUUUUCAUUUUUUCUUCUUCAAUUCUCAGCAGGCUGUCGUGUCUCCAUCACAGUUGUCCGGUACACCUAUCUCAUCGUUGUCUCCGGAAGGUCCGCCUACCAUUGUUGCGUCUUCCUUAGGUGAUUUCGGACCCUCUGCUCCUUUCUUUCAUGAUUGCUUGCAAACCCUAGAUCACAACACCACCCACUUGAAUUUUCCUUUACAUGACACUCAGACUGGUCCUUCUUUAAAUUUGCAAUCACGCUCUCAUGAUCAGCAUCUAGGUCUAGCUAAUACUUCCAAUUUUCCAACCCCUACCGAAACCAAUAAUUUUCCCCAACGCACUCAUACCAUGACCAUAAGAUCAAUGUACCAAAUCUUCAAACCCAAACAACUCCACACUGUGUCAAAAUAUCCUCUCUCCUCGACCAUUGAACCAACCAAUGUGAGCCAAGCCAUUUCUCAACCUCAUUGGCGUGAGGUCAUGUCUAAUGAGCUUACUGCUCUAAUGAAACAUAGGACUUGGGACAUAGUUUUACCACCUUCAAACUGUAAACCCGUGGGUUGUAAAUGGGUAUUUUGAGUAAAAAGAAAAGCUGAUGGGUCAGUGGACAGGUUCAAAGUCUGUCUAGUUGCUAAGGGCUAUAAUCAACGUCUUGGUGUUGAUUACAAAGACACUUUUAGUCUUGUCAUCAAACCAACAACUAUUAGAUUUGUCCUAUCUAUUGUAGUCAUGAAUGGAUGGGUUUUGAGGCAACUGAAUAUCAACAAUGCUUUUCUAAAUGGUGAAUUAUCUGAGACUGUGUUUAUGGCAUAACCCCCAGGGUUCAAAGAUUUGUCCAAACCUAAUCAUGUUUGCAAGUUAAAAAAAUGCCAUCUAUGGGCUUAAAUAAGCCCCGCGAGCUUGGUACACAAUGCUAAAAAAUGCCAUUCUUCAGUUGGGUUUUCAUAAUUCCAAAGUGGAUUCCUCUCUCUUCAUUUACAACCAUGGUUCCAAUCUUUAUUAUUUCUACAGGGAAUAAUUUCAUACUUAUGGCCACUAUUAUGAAGCAGCUGGGUGACAUGUUUUCUCUCAAAGAUAUGGGUUCUCUUCAUUUUUUCUUAGGAAUUGAAGUAAUUCCUACUCGGGCAGGAUUAUUCCUCUCACAACAUAAAUAUGUUCAUGAACUUUUAGCCCACACCAGUAUGAGUAGUGCAAAAGAUGUCUCCAUACCUCUCUCUACCACUCAAUCUCUUCAACUGGUUGAUGGCAUUGUUGCUGUGGACAACUCAGAGUUCUGUAAAAUCAUUGGCAGCCUUCAAUACCUUUCUUUGACGCAUCCAGAUAUCUCAUUUGCAGUAAAAAAAACUCUCGCAAUUUAUGCACAAGCCGACUACAAAUCACUGGACAGAAACCAAACGACUCAUUCGAUACUUAAAACAAACCAUUUUUUUAUGGUAUUCAAAUCAACAAAGCUGGAACUCCAGUAUUAAGAACAUACUCAGAUGUAGAUUGGGCUGGAAAUGUGGACGACUGCACGUCCACCUCUGCUUCUAUCAAUUUUUUGGGAUCUAACCAAAUUUCUUGGAGCUCAAAGAAACAAAGAGCAGUUGCAAGAUCCUCAAUAGAAGUUGAAUACCGAGACUAGCAACUGCGGCUUCCGAGACAAUGUGGAUGUCUACUCUCUUCAAAGAACUAGCAUUUCCAAUCAAAGAAUCUCCCCAAUUGUUAUGUGACAACCUUGGAGCCACACAUCUCAGUUUUAACUCGGUUAAUCAUUCACGCAUGAAACACAUUCAAAUUGACCUUCACUUUGUGCGUGACUUAGUGCAAAAAGGAAGCAUCCAAGUCAGCCAUGUACAUACUCAAGACCAAUUAGCUUAUCUGUUAGCAAAGUCGUUGUCCAAACAACGCACAGAAUUGUUACGCAACAACAUUGUCCUUACCGAUGGAAGCCCUAUCUUGCAGGGGUGUAUAAGGGAAACAUCCUAAAAUCAUGCCUAUCAUUCAAUUCUAUAUUCUGUCAUAUAGUUGUAUAUUGUAACAGUAGCAUCCUUACCGUGUAUAAGUUUCCUAAACUAGCUUCUCAAUCACUCUAUAUAACAGAGUUUCUAUCAAUAAAAUGAGUGGGAAAUUCUUCAUUGAAACUACGACAAUAUUUGUUUCUCUAUAAGAGAAACGGUGACACCAAUAUUUUAGCAUGGAAAACCUAAAAAAAGGAGAAAAAACCAUAGACCUCUAGCGAUCAAAUCAUUCACCAUGAAGAAAAUUAACUAAGUACAAGGAUUUACCUAACCCAAACUUUCAAUCCUCUCUUGGUCCACUUGCCUAAAAUCUUCAGACUUUAGCAACCCACUUUCUUCUUCUAGAACACACUUCAAAUCCAUACUAAGUUUGAUCUUGACCUCUUCUUAAAUCCACAUAAGAAGAUAUUUGAGUUUUUACCCCAAAUAAGAUGAAUAUAAGCGUAAAGAUGAAACUCACACUGAAUCAACCUAUUUUGAAAGAAAUUUUUUCACUUAAAAAUGAAUUUCAACUCAAACCCAUAAAAUUUUCAUUCAAACCAAACACCUCAAAAACAGGUAAAAGAAUAUGAAGCUCAAGAGAGGCCACCUAUCUCUUUCAGCCCGCCCUUCCUCUUAUAGAAAUAGAGCUUAAAUAUUAGGGUUUUAAAACCCAUUAAACGGAUGAGAUUUGUUUGGAAAAUAAUGAAGAUUCAUAGUGUGAUCGAAACCUGAUCACAAGACUGAAAAAAUCUGGGUUCAACAAAAACUGUUACCCUUCAGUUUUAUGUUGUGGUUGAGUACUACUCGAUAAUAGUGAGUGAUAUCAUUUAUGGAGGACCAUCACAUGAUGGUCCAAAUGAGAAGUAGAUAUGAUACUAAAAAUUGAUGUAAGGUAAUGUCCCGUCCCAAGACCCACUCCAAGGGCAUGAAGGUCAUUUCACACCUCAAACCCAAAGGCUUAAAGUGUAACCUGACCCAAACAAUUAUCUUAUAACUGGAAGUUACCAAUUACCAAAUACCUGUUUAGAGUAGCAAAAUAAAAUUCUAAAAUCUUCAAAACUUAACUUUAAAACUAAGCAUCCAUCAACCAAAAUCCAUUUUCCAAAUAAAUUGCAAACUCAAACAAUUCAAGUGCUAACAAAAAUUUUCAUAAUCUCCAAAUCUCAACUUCAAACUAUCAAAAAAAAUUUAAAAGUUCAAUAUCUAAAUAGCUUCCAAAAACCAAAUAAUCCAAAUGAACAUAAACUUAUAAGCUAACAAUGUCCAAAAAUAACAUCCUAAGCAAAAUCCUAAUGAUGACCAUUCCCCGACCUAGCCAUCACUCAUCGCCCGAACUAAGUGUACCUGAAAAAUUAUCAACAAAAGAGAAUGAGCUCAAAGCCCAAUAAGGAACAUUAUUAUAGUCCAUGGAUCAAAUAUUUCAAGUUCACUUGUAAAAUAGGAGAUAUUAUAACUAAUUAUUUUCAUAAACCUUUGAGUCAGUUUUGUCAAUACAUUCAAAACUUUUAAUUGAACACUUUCAUUUCUGAUUCAAACAUUUUCAUAUCAAAUUCAGUCAAAACAUUCAAAUCAUUUAUUUACUUUGGUCAUCAAACAUUAAAUGAUGUCCAAUUAGGUGAGACUUUUCAAAUAAGUGGCUAGCCUCAAAUUGUUCAUUUAAGGUGGACGAAACCAAACACUACUAGUACUAGUAACCUCUAACCAAACCCCUAGAGGUUGGGGUCCAAAUCAAUUACAUUCCCCACCAAGAAAUGUAAAUGUCAACUAUUAUAUUUCGUCGACAAGGGUCAAACAAACCAAAAUCAAACACUUAUUUCAAUUAUUCAAAUUUGCAAAACAUAAUAUCUCCAUAUUUCUCUGUUGUGAACAAAAUGUAAGGUUCUAACAUACUUUUCAUGCAAAACAUAUUUGAUUCAUGCAUAAAACGAAUAAUAACUCAAAGCGUUUCCAAAUGAUGUAUAUAAAAAUUUGUUUCUAAAAAAAAAAAAAAACCUGCAUUAAUUUCCCUUACCUCAAAAGAAGUCUUCAAAAACUUAGGAGAAAAAUAAUUCUUAAAAAUCUACUCCUCACCUAACAAAGUAUAAGAGAAAUAACCAUUAUUAUUUAUCUAAAAUUAUAGGUUUGACAAUCCUAAAAGGUAUUCAAAUUAAUGUUUUUAAUUAUAAAAGAUAAUUUAAUCUAUUCCUAUUUUAGAAAAAUUAAUAAAUUUCUAAUUCAUAUAAAACUUAAAUUUUAUUUUCAAUUUAUUUCUUAGGAUACAACAUAAUUUAAUUAAACUACAAUUUAUUCUACUAAUUAAAUUUUAUGCCACUUAUUAACUUACACUCAUCAUUAGUAUAAUAAUAUUGAUAACUUCUAUUCUCUUUCUUUCAAUUUUUUUUUUCCACUAAACAUAAAUUGUAACCCUAACAAUUCUCCAUUAUUGCUAACAUAAUAAUGUAAAGAUAUUUAUUAACCACCAAACACCAUCCGUACACAUCUUCCUUUAUUAUUAAUAUUACUAUUUUUUUUCUUUUAAAAAAAAUAAAAAAUUCCUCCAGUGCAAGUGUGUUCUUUUUUUUUCCCCUAAUGUUUUCUAAUCCCUUAACCCACAUAUAAUAAUAUAUUUAUUUACUCAUUUAUUUAUUUAUUUUUAAAAAAAUCAUUACUUAGAUCUAUUCAUCUAAAAAAUUUUGAAUUUCCCUUAUUUCAACAAUAGAACAAUCUAUAUUCCCAAUUUCAAUAUUUUGACCUAAAAGUUUUAAAUAGGUUAAGUCUAGCCUAAAUUGAAAUCUUUCAAAGAAAUUUUUUUUUUUUUCAAAAACUUAAGAUUUCCCAAUUUUUAAUAAUAAAACCACCAAUAAUCCUAAAUUUCUAAUAUUUUGAUAUUAAAACGAAUUAAAAAAAAAACUAACCCUAAUCUAAAUUAAAAAAAUAAAAUUCAAAGAAUAACUAACGUGUUUAGAACUAACUAUUGAAUAUAAUAUAUUAAUUUAAGAUUAGAAUCUUACCUAGAAAAAAAACCUGAAUUUCAACUUUAAAUCUCUAACCCUUGAGCCCUACGAACUCCAAUUCUCUACUUCUAGUUAAUAGGGUUUUCUGAACGAAGAAGAAAAGAGGAAAAAUCCAAUUUAUACCUAGGAUUUUUAAUUGUAAAAUGACUCUUUCACCCUCAAUGAAUUUAAUUAAUUAUUUAAUUACUUUAUAAAUUACUAGUUUGCCCCUAGAUUAAAUUUUGGGGUGUUACAGGUAAUCAAGUAAAAGUUAACGAGUUGGAUCGAAACAGGUUCUGACUUUCUGUAGCUGCAUUUAGAAAUGAAGGUUUUACAGGUAAAGAUGUUUCAGACACUUCUUCACCAAAACCCAUGUGUAAAAGGAACAGAUUGAACCGAAAGCUACUUCAUUAUGGUUUUGUGGAGAGUUGCUUUUCUUGAGAAGUUCUAUAUAGGCUUUCAGUUACUUGUGACCUAUUGUGCUUCAAAUCAAUCAAUUUGAUUUUCGUGCCAGAAUGAAAGCAUUGAUUAUACUAGAAGUUCAUGUUCAAGUUUAAAGUAAAGUAAAUAUGCGAAGACUGUUUUUUGUUAUCAAACCUAAUUCCCUUUUUUUUCCUCCAUUUUUUUUUUUCUCAGCUUCUGAGUUCAUGAAAUUACAGUUACAUGGAAUUUGGCCCACAGGAAAUCUCUUUUAGAAAAUCUUAUCCGGUUUACUUCACAAUUUUUUUUUUAAAUGUGAAAAUUAAGAACAAUUGCAUGCUGUUGAUCAAGACAUCCAUGUUUAGCAAUUCAUCCUCUCAUUGAAAUAAAUGUAAAUGUUCCAUUUAUUUAAAAGUUUGCGAAUCUUAAGUAGAUGGCAAACAGAUCAAUAAGGUCCAAUAACAGAACAAAUUAAUGGCUAGUAUAUACUGAAAGAGAACUCAAGGGUAUAAAAUAAAAACAAAAUGAUCCAAACUGCAAAGCAUCAUGGCCAUGGCAAGGUCCUUAUUGUUGAACUGGAUGUCUUUCUUUGAUGUUAAUAGUCGUUGUACCCCCAAAAGAUCUUCCUGUUCCUUCUGAUAUCAAUUAUUCAUUCUAUCUAUCCUAUAAUCUGCACGGAAAACAGAGGAAUGUUAAAUACUGUAUGAAUGAUGAAAAUGAGAAAUGUGGUCUGUAUUAUUAUAUAUACUUACAUGAAACUAGAAGAGGCAAUUCAUUUAGUAAUAUGGUGGAGGAGGUGAAGGAGAGGAAGGGGGUGGUGACUUGUGGUGGUAGACUGGUGGUUGGGAUGAUGGAGAAGGUAGUGGUGGGGACUUAUAGUAAUAAGGAGGUUGAGGAGAUGGUGAUGGAGGAGGAGGUAAUUUAUAGUCGUAGUGAGGAGGGGGUGAUGGUGAAGGUAGUGGUGGUGACUUGUAGUAAUACCACGGAGGAAGAGAUGGAGAGGGAGCCAGAGGUGACAUCGGUGGUAGUGAUUUAUAGUAAUAAGGAGGCAGUGAUGAUGGAAAAGGUGGGAGCGGUGGCAGUGAUGAUGGAAAAGGUGGGAGCGGUGGCCGUGAUUUAUAGUAAUAAGGAGGUAGUGAUGAUGGAAAAGGUGGGGAUGCAAAAGUAUUAGGAUUGUGAGGCUCGUCUUCAGCAGCUACAUUAGCAGCAAUCAAGCACAAAGCCAAGGCACAAAUCAGGUGAGGCCAAAAAUUGGCCAUUUCCGGAACACGAGAAAAUUUCACUCCUGCAACUCAAGAACUUCUAUUUCUUAGAACAGAAGGGAUUUUGUGAAUGAUGCUUCAAGCUAGAGGCUCAGAGUUUAUAUAGUCAUCCUUUCCAUAAUUCUUUCAUUUGUUUAAUUAAUAGUCGUUGAAGCCUCC